UACGUAGGGUGCAGGCGUUAAUCGGAAUUACUGGGCGUAAAGCGUGCGCAGGCGGUUUGCUAAGACAGGUGUGAAAUCCCCGGGCUUAACCUGGGAACUGCGCUUGUUACUGGCAAGCUGGAGUGUGGCAGAGGGGGGUGGAAUUCCACGUGUAGCAGUGAAAUGCGUAGAUAUCUGGAGGAAUACCGGUGGCGAAGGCGGCGAUCC
rnacentral:rRNA from 1 species